rnacentral:rRNA from 2 species
GCUCAGGACGAACGCUGGCGGCGUGCCUAAUACAUGCAAGUCGAGCGGACAGAUGGGAGCUUGCUCCCUGAUGUUAGCGGCGGACGGGUGAGUAACACGUGGGUAACCUGCCUGUAAGACUGGGAUAACUCCGGGAAACCGGGGCUAAUACCGGAUGGUUGUUUGAACCGCAUGGUUCAAACAUAAAAGGUGGCUUCGGCUACCACUUACAGAUGGACCCGCGGCGCAUUAGCUAGUUGGUGAGGUAAUGGCUCACCAAGGCAACGAUGCGUAGCCGACCUGAGAGGGUGAUCGGCCACACUGGGACUGAGACACGGCCCAGACUCCUACGGGAGGCAGCAGUAGGGAAUCUUCCGCAAUGGACGAAAGUCUGACGGAGCAACGCCGCGUGAGUGAUGAAGGUUUUCGGAUCGUAAAGCUCUGUUGUUAGGGAAGAACAAGUACCGUUCGAAUAGGGCGGUACCUUGACGGUACCUAACCAGAAAGCCACGGCUAACUACGUGCCAGCAGCCGCGGUAAUACGUAGGUGGCAAGCGUUGUCCGGAAUUAUUGGGCGUAAAGGGCUCGCAGGCGGUUUCUUAAGUCUGAUGUGAAAGCCCCCGGCUCAACCGGGGAGGGUCAUUGGAAACUGGGGAACUUGAGUGCAGAAGAGGAGAGUGGAAUUCCACGUGUAGCGGUGAAAUGCGUAGAGAUGUGGAGGAACACCAGUGGCGAAGGCGACUCUCUGGUCU